rnacentral:rRNA from 1 species
AGUGAACGCUAGCGGUAGGCCUAACACAUGCAAGUCGAACGGCAGCACAGUAAGAGCUUGCUCUUACGGGUGGCGAGUGGCGGACGGGUGAGGAAUACAUCGGAAUCUACUUUUUCGUGGGGGAUAACGUAGGGAAACUUACGCUAAUACCGCAUACGACCUACGGGUGAAAGCAGGGGAUCUUCGGACCUUGCGCGAUUGAAUGAGCCGAUGUCGGAUUAGCUAGUUGGCGGGGUAAAGGCCCACCAAGGCGACGAUCCGUAGCUGGUCUGAGAGGAUGAACAGGCAAAAUGGAAACGAGAAAAGGGCCAAAAUCCUAAGGGAAGGAGGAGUGGGGAAUAAUUGGAAAAGGGGGCAAGCCUGAUCCAGCCAUACCGCGUGGGUGAAGAAGGCCUUCGGGUUGUAAAGCCCUUUUGUUGGGAAAGAAAAGCAGCAGGUUAAUACCCCGCUGUUCUGACGGUACCCAAAGAAUAAGCACCGGCUAACUUCGUG